rnacentral:rRNA from 1 species
AGAGUUUGAUCCUGGCUCAGGACGAACGCUGGCGGCGCGCCUAACACAUGCAAGUCGAACGGAGCUGAGAGGAGCUUGCUUUUCUUAGCUUAGUGGCGAACGGGUGAGUAACGCGUGAGUAACCUGCCCUGGAGUGGGGGACAACAGUUGGAAACGACUGCUAAUACCGCAUAAGCCCACGGCCCGGCAUCGGGCUGCGGGAAAAGGAUUUAUUCGCUUCAGGAUGGACUCGCGUCCAAUUAGCUAGUUGGUGAGGUAACGGCCCACCAAGGCGACGAUUGGUAGCCGGACUGAGAGGUUGAACGGCCACAUUGGGACUGAGACACGGCCCAGACUCCUACGGGAGGCAGCAGUGGGGAAUAUUGCACAAUGGGGGAAACCCUGAUGCAGCGACGCCGCGUGGAGGAAGAAGGUUUUCGGAUUGUAAACUCCUGUCGUUAGGGACGAUAAUGACGGUACCUAACAAGAAAGCACCGGCUAACUACGUGCCAGCAGCCGCGGUAAAACGUAGGGUGCAAGCGUUGUCCGGAAUUACUGGGUGUAAAGGGAGCGCAGGCGGACCGGCAAGUUGGAAGUGAAAACUAUGGGCUCAACCCAUAAAUUGCUUUCAAAACUGCUGGCCUUGAGUAGUGCAGAGGUAGGUGGAAUUCCCGGUGUAGCGGUGGAAUGCGUAGAUAUCGGGAGGAACACCAGUGGCGAAGGCGACCUACUGGGCACCAACUGACGCUGAGGCUCGAAAGCAUGGGUAGCAAACAGGAUUAGAUACCCUGGUAGUCCAUGCCGUAAACGAUGAUUACUAGGUGUUGGAGGAUUGACCCCUUCAGUGCCGCAGUUAACACAAUAAGUAAUCCACCUGGGGAGUACGACCGCAAGGUUGAAACUCAAAGGAAUUGACGGGGGCC